CGUCAUUGGCGCUCUCUGUCGGUAAAUUGAAGCGCUAAGUUCUCCCACUCUACAUACAGUCGUUUAGUCGAAGGUGUGUAGUGGGGAUGAAGCUGCGGCAUAGGUAACGUAAUGCGCAUCAGUCAGUUGUUUUGAAGCGGUCGUACGUGUCACUUGGAUUACUCGGUUUGCGAUUAACGCAGUGUUUUUCUUUUUCUUUUCCCUUGUGGAUACGAUCGAGAUCGUGUUUAAAAGCUAAUAUUAGAUAAUAUCGUAAUAUUUCGGUGACAGGCCGUAUAAAAUAUUUAAUCAUAAAUUAUUAGUGAGAUUUGAAAUAACGUUUGGUGAGAGUGUUGUUUUCGAACGAUCUCGUCUUAUUCAUUUUAUCUUCGUUUCCAUUUAUUAUUAUUACAAAAAGUUAAUGAUACCAAGAUUGUUAAGUCAUCAAAUUCGUUUCUAAGAAGGAUGUUUGAUCGCGACACAGCGAUACAUCUCAUUGCCGGAGGUGUUGCUGGUACAACAGGAGCUAUAGUAACCUGUCCACUCGAAGUGGUUAAAACACGUUUACAAUCCUCUUCGUCUGGCUUUCACCCGCCACCAGUGAAUAAAGAGUUUACGUCCGGUCAUGUCACGUGUAAAAGUUUUCCAACACCGGAGCAAAGGAGGAGACUGUGUACAGGAGGAUAUCCAAGGUGUUCCUUUCUGGCUCUUUCACAUUGCGGCGUGUCGACACCACCAGGUGGUAGUCCACACGCUUAUCCAACACCCGGUAUUAUCCAGUGUAUAAGAUACAUCAUUAAAAACGAAGGUGUGCGUGCCCUUUUCCAAGGUCUCGGACCAAAUCUUGUUGGUGUUGCACCUUCCAGGGCAAUCUACUUCUGUGCAUAUUCAAAAAGCAAAACGGCUUUUAACACGAUACUACCCCCGGACACUCCGAUAGUCCACGUAUUUUCGGCAUUUGGCGCUGGUUUCGUGGCAUGCACAUUGACAAAUCCUAUUUGGUUUAUUAAAACCAGACUACAGUUGGAUCAUCGAACGAACAAAAUUACUUCGAUAGAAUGUAUGCGGAGGAUAUAUCGACAAUCGGGUUUCCUAGGCUUUUAUAAGGGUAUUGUGGCGUCCUACGUAGGUAUAAGUGAGACUGUGAUACACUUUGUAAUUUACGAAGCUGUAAAGGCAUGGCUUGCGGCAAGGACGAGAGUUCCUUCUUCAAGAGGAGACGACAGAAAAACCUUACGUGAUUUUAUAGAAUUUAUGGUAGCUGGUUCGUUUUCCAAAACAAUCGCUUCAACGAUAGCUUAUCCUCAUGAAGUGGCAAGAACACGUUUACGCGAAGAAGGUACAAAGUAUCGAACGUUUGGUCAAACUUUACACACCGUAUAUAAUGAAGAAGGAACCAGGGGUUUGUACCGUGGACUUGGAACUCAUUUGGUAAGACAGAUUCCAAAUACAGCUAUAAUAAUGGCCACUUACGAAGCCGUAGUCUACAUCCUGAUGCGACAUUUCCAUUCAACUACUGUAAAUACAACGAACACAAGGACACAGUUUUAUGCUGAGACUAAAGCAAAGAGGGAACUGGCCUAGGAUUUGCUAAAAGGUCCUGAAUAAAGGGCCUUCAUUCUAAAUGCUAACGUUCGUGUUCUGAGGGGCCACGUUUCAUCAGGUCUUCAUUGUCCUCCUCCUCCUCUUCAUCCUCAUUAUCAUCGAGGAAAUAUUAAGAGACACCAUGGAAGAGAUGACGAUGGUGAGACGUCCUUUGGAGCUCAAUUACGAUUGUUACAUUGAAAGUAGCACCAAAAGUCCUUCAUCCUUUCAGGUAGCAACUAAAACGCGUACGCAUGGAAUCCUGUUGUCUUGUGUACCUUGUAUACCAAACAGGCCAAUACCAAGUGAGGGCUGAUUUAAAGCUGGAACAAUGUGCUGACACACGUUGCUUCUCUUCCUCUUUUCCUCUAUCUCUAUCUUUAUCUUUUUCUCUUUCUCUUUCUCUUAUUAAUGAAAGUACAUUUUUUAUCUGUGACGCGGAAAUGGGAGAUACGUUUACUUUAUAUUAUAUUAUACAUAUACAUAUAUGACUCUUUAGAAAAACUAUAUUCUCCGAUAAUUUAGGAUUUUCUAUUCCUUUUUGCAAAGUUGCUGUUCCACCACCAUGUAUGUGUAUUAUAUUUCAAAGUAAUCGACAAACUAUAUAUGGAGAACGAACGAAUUGUUCAUUGUUAAAUUUUCUUUAUUUACAAAUUUUUAUGCUUAUAAAAUUAUAUUACGUUAUUAUUAUCAUUAUAUUUGUUUGUAUAUUUCGUUAUAUUUGACACGCGAGUAGAAAAUAGAUUGAAAUUUUGUUUUAUUUCUUUCUCUGUUAUAUUGAGAAAAGAGAGAUUGUGUUUUAACACAACGAAUUCUUUCUUCUUCUUCUUUUUUUUUUAUUUUUUAUUUUAUUCUGUUAUUAUUAUAACAGUAAUGUUAAUUUUUUGUCAGGAAAUUUUUCUUUUUAUUUAUCUACCUCUCUCUUUAUCUCUGGGUGGUAGAAAUAUCGAACAUUAAAAUUUGUUGUUUCCUUUAAAUAUAUCUUUACAUUUAUUAUCACAUCUCAACAAUUUGAUUCUUAUUAAUUAAUUUUAAUUUGAUUAUAUAUUAUUUUAUAUUCAAUAUUACAUUGCAAGAUGUAAGAAUCUCGAAUUGUAUUGAAUAAAUGAUUAUAAUUGAAUAAUAAAAGAGGCCGUGAUAAAAUAUGCAUACUAUUCGUUUAAAGCUUGCUGUUAUUAUUCCGUGUAAUAUUGAAGAUAUCGAUUAUUAAUAGGGAUAACAAAUGAUGAAAUCAAAUCUAUUUUGUGAAUAUAGAAAUACACAUAUUAUAUCACAU
rnacentral:misc_RNA from 1 species